rnacentral:rRNA from 1 species
UACGGGGGGAGCAAGCGUUGUUCGGAUUUACUGGGCGUAAAGGGCGCGUAGGCGGCCAGCGCAAGUCAGUUGUGAAAUCUCCGGGCUUAACUCGGAAAGGUCAACUGAUACUGCGCGGCUAGAGUGCAGAAGGGGCAACUGGAAUUCUCGGUGUAGCGGUGAAAUGCGUAGAUAUCGAGAGGAACACCUGCGGCGAAGGCGGGUUGCUGGGCUGACACUGACGCUGAUGCGGCGAAA